UACAGAGGGGGCAAGCGUUAUUCGGAAUUAUUGGGCGUAAAGGACGCGUAGGCGGCUUUGCAAGUGACGGGUGAAAUCCCUCGGCUUAACCGAGGAACUGCCUGUCAAACUGCAUGGCUUGAGACCGGGAGAGGUGAGUGGAAUUCCCAGUGUAGCGGUGAAAUGCGUAGAUAUUGGGAGGAACACCAGUGGCGAAAGCGGCUUCCUGGUCCAGCACCGACGUUCAGGCACGAAAGCGUGGGGAGCAAACAGG
rnacentral:rRNA from 1 species